rnacentral:sRNA from 1 species
UCUUUUCCCCAUCAUCAGUAGAGGUUUACAUAGCCAUGUAAAUUUCAAAACUAGAGCUCCGCAAUACGCGGCAUGCUGAGGGUUAUCCGUCCUUACACCACUUUUAUUUGUGUGUUGUUUUGUGAGAAAUGGGUUUCCUUCCGUUCCCGGCUCUGGAGACCAAUUUCUACGUGUCCUUUUUUCCCAAAUUAACUUUUAUGGCUAGGCUUAUUUUCCUGUGGGCUUUAGCUGUGGAGGAGGCGUGACAUAUCAUGGCCAUUCUCUAUUGUUUAUCAUGGCCGGUAUUGGUACCACGCUUGUGUCCGUCGGGCUAGGAUUUUGCAUUGUAAUUUCCGUAUGCUGUGUAAAAACAUAAGGGAGAACGGCAUGCUAUUUUAUCCCGAGUAAUUCGUAUUGGAUUAUUCCUAUCACUUUUAUGCCUCGUAAAAUUCAGCUGCAACCUGCAAACUCACAUCGUCUCCGUCCCCCGCUGGACAGAUGCUCCAUGAAUCCACUUGAGGAUACAGUUUUCCAAUCAAUUAACUUGUUUCCUCGCAAAAAAAAAAAAAAAAAAAAAAAAAUCAGAAACCUACGCCCUUCACAAAACUCCUCAAUUAAUUCAGCCAGCGGCCAUGAAAUGCACGCCUAAAUGAUUUCCUAUCGUCAUAUCCACGUAUGUCAUUAUCUAAAAAUAAUCAAACACAAACUACCGCCGCGUCAACCGUCCUUUUAUACUGCUUCAAGCCUUCUUCGCCCGUCCAGUCUGAAUGAUCUCCCCGGUAUGUUUAUCAUCUUUUCGCAGGACCGGCCAACUCGUCCCGUCCGCCUUCGCUAGGUUCAAAUCCAUCUUCGUGCCCAUGAUCUGGAAACUGGACUUUUCUGUAUCGAUUGGUGCGUAGAGGAUGAGGGUUUCCUUGAAGCGCUUGUUAUCAGAGGUCGGGAGAUCCAAUUCUAUUGUAGUAGGCGAGGUGAAGUUGACUUUCGCAUUGGCUUUGUCGAUCUUCUUGAGGUAGAGGGUGGCCAUGAUGGAGGUAGCGGUUUGGUAGAAAUCGGUCCUUCAAAGUAAAGGCGAAGCGCAGUUAGCAAGCCUGGCCGAAUUUUAUGAAGGUAUAUCACGUCAAGAGGAAUAAAGGGACUACAUGUAUCUGUCGUCGAUACCAUAGGUUUCUGAAGAAACACUCGUUGAAACUCACCGAAUAUUGUCAACCUUCUCCUCCGUCUUCUUCGCCUUCCCAAUAAACAAAUGCCUCGACCUUUGCUUACAGCCAGCUAUCUUCAUAAAUUCAUCGAAUUCUAACACUCUGCGCUUGCAGCAGCUCCAGCCCUUGCUCCCCUCAUGAAAAAUAGGCAGACCCGGAUGAUGUUCGCAUUUCUCGUCAUCCCUUGGAACGCAAGGUGAAUAUUUACCAUUGCAGCCUCUUCGACGACAUGCCGCACCAGCCUCAAUCGCAAGGGAUGGGUCAUCGGAUUCUGAUUCUGGAGGAGGAGACGUUGAAGGUUUGGGGGUAUGUGCACCUGCCGCGGAGAGAGUGGUUGGAGUGUUUCCGAUGGCAAUCGGAAUAUGUUUCGGAGUAGUGUCGGGUGCUAUCUCGGGGGCAUCAUUUUUAGACUCUGGAGCUGGAGCGUUAUCGACUGCUGAAUGUUUCCCCGUCGUGCACGGUGGGAUGGCCAGGAAUUCGUCGAAACUGAGAACGCGAGGUUUACAACAUUUCCAUCCUUUGUGCCCUUCGUGAAAUUCUGGCGGCCCAGGAUGAUAGACGCACACUUCGUCAGGGUCCGUAAACACCUUACCGCAGCUCUUGUGGACACAUUUUUGCGCCAUAUUUUAGGUAGCGUUUUAUGAUCCAGUAAACAGAUCCCUCAAUCGUUAUAAGAGCCGGUUGAUAACCUGUAGCCGUUUGGCUUGCAGAUUGGAACCAUUGGUGGGAUGUUAAGUGCUUCUGGAAUUAUUUAACUACGACAUCACGAAGCUUAUGCUAGCGCUAGCUCCCCAAAACCAUCGAAGCUUCUGGAGCCCCAGACAAUGAAAUAUGGACAACACCGAAGCAGACAGCGAUAUUUCCCAAGUUGAUCUUGAAAAUUAAGGCUCACAGGGGCUACCUAAACACGACACGAUGCGCACUUCAAUCAGGCUAUUCCAAAAUGCCCAACUCACCCUCUUCACACGCGUCCAUUGCUCUCUAUGCGAUACGGCAAAAAACACCAUAGCAAAGCUACGAGAAAGGAAGCCAUUCACAUAUUCAGAAAUUGAUGUUAUGACCCCACAAAACAAACGGUGGAAGGACGUUUACGAGUUUGACGUACCUGUUCUGCACGUUCAGCGAGUCCUUUCCACAUCCAAUGACGGAGGCGAAACUCUAUCAGAUCCAAAAAAGUUAUUUCACCGAUUUACGGAGCAGGAAGUUGAGAAGGCAAUAAAGGAGGUAGAAGAAUUGAUAUAAAAAUUACGAAUAUGUGUGAUUAUGUUGCUAUCAUCAAAUAUUAAAGUGCAUGUCUACCAUAUCUCGCGCAAGGGACAUUUGACCUCCUUAUAAGCCCGCCCGAGCAGUAUUUAGCGAGUUCGACAGAUGGGCAGGAAGAGCAGCGACGUCGGAAAUCACAGAUAUCUGCAUAUAAACGUCAGCAUCCAAUGCAAGAGGCCGAAAAGGAUAAAGAAAUUUUUGAAUAUAAAAGCCCCGUCCUACCAUGUGAAACCCUUGCUCUGCGUACUUGCUUGCGGAAUCGCCAUCUGCGCUGUAAAUUCCAGCCUUCUUACCGUUGUCGACGGCUGCCUUGCGAAUUCUUUCAAUUGCAGCCACCAAGUCAGGAUGGAAAUCACCCAUAACAGGCCGACUAAUAUUGUUUCCCAGGUCCCACGGACCAACCAACAACACGUCUACUCCUGGAACUUUGGCGAUUUCCUCAACCUAUCCGUUGCACUCGAAUUACCCUAGUCAGCUUGCCAAGCGUUUAAAUACCGUCAAAGGAUGAUUUAGUGAUUGAUAAAAAAAAUAUCUGCAAACUUCACAUUUUCAAAAGCCUCCUUGGUUUCUAUUUGAACAAUUGUAACCAAGGCUUCAUUUGCCUGAAGCAAAUAGUCCGUCUGAGUAAGAUUCCCAAAUGAGCCCAUGGAAAAUGGGCUUCCAAACCCUCUUCUGCCCAAGGGAGGAAACUUGGCCGAUUCCACUAGUUUCCUUGCAUCGUCUACAGUGUGGAGGAGAGGGACAACAAUUCCGUGGGCUCCUGCGUCCAAGGCACCUAUUCUUGGAAUUAACAAUCACACCAUCUGCGUACGAUCUGGGUGAUAAGUGAACCCUUCUAGAAAGGGAUACAUACGCUUAACCAUCCACGACUCAUUAGCAGCAAUUCGCACGACGGGACUGACACCCGUAGCGGCAAUUGCAGCCACGGCUUCGUGCAUUUGGUCAUCUAGAAUCAACAACAGUUAAUAGUUUGCACAAUAUAUUUACUAACUGAGGAGCUCGUGCCAGGCUAGAGGCUUCCCCCCUUGCCAAUUCGUAGCAGUAGGGGGUUACGUAUAUCAGAGAACAAAAUCAAUCCGACGUUUUCACUGCUUCAUUAUUUACCUGCAAUGUUUCCGUGCUCGGUGUCGACACAGAUCCAAUCAAAGCCGCUCCUGGCCAUGAUCCGUGAAUGGUUGGCGCCUGGAAGCAUUUGCCAUGCACCAAACGACACGCCCUUGCCUGUUUGAAGCGCAGUCCGGAGGCGAUUGGCAGCUUGCAUUGUUGGUUAUGAAGAUGAUUAUUCUGUAUAAUACUAGAAUCGAAGUAAAUGUGAUUUAAUUGGCAU